rnacentral:rRNA from 1 species
UACGGAGGGUGCAAGCGUUAUCCGGAAUUACUGGGUUUAAAGGGUGCGUAGGCGGACGCGUAAGUCAGUUGUGAAAGGUCUCAGCUAAACUGGGGAAUUGCAAUUGAAACUGUGUGUCUUGAAUGGGGCUGAGGUUAGCGGAAUGAGUCAUGUAGCGGUGAAAUGCAUAGAUAUGACUUAGAACACCGAUUGCGAAGGCAGCUAACUAGACCUCUAUUGACGCUGAGGCACGAAAGCGUGGGUAGCGAACAGG